rnacentral:rRNA from 1 species
GACGAACGCUGGCGGCGUGCUUAACACAUGCAAGUCGAACGGUAAGGCCUUUCGGGGUACACGAGUGGCGAACGGGUGAGUAACACGUGGGUGAUCUGCCCUGCACUUCGGGAUAAGCCCGGGAAACUGGGUCUAAUACCGGAUAGGACUGCGCGGUGCAUGCCGUGUGGUGGAAAGAUUUAUCGGUGCAGGAUGGGCCCGCGGCCUAUCAGCUUGUUGGUGGGGUAAUGGCCUACCAAGGCGACGACGGGUAGCCGGCCUGAGAGGGCGACCGGCCACACUGGGACUGAGACACGGCCCAGACUCCUACGGGAGGCAGCAGUGGGGAAUAUUGCACAAUGGGCGGAAGCCUGAUGCAGCGACGCCGCGUGAGGGAUGACGGCCUUCGGGUUGUAAACCUCUUUCAGCAGGGACGAAGCGUGAGUGACGGUACCUGCAGAAGAAGCACCGGCCAACUACGUG